AGAUAAUGGGAGAAUUUUUCUUCAUUGAAAAUGCUCUGUGUCGCUUAGGAAGAACUUACUGAGGCAGCCUGCCAUCUAGCUUUUUCACAGAAAAACAGGCUUACAGACUGCAGAUGAGAGAGUCUGGAGCAGAGACAGUUUUAACUUAGCCAUUCCUAAUUUAUCUCAAGCAUAUUCAAUUCAUCUUCACUGCUCUAUGCACACAGGAACACCAGAUUGUCGUCCCUAGGGAACAGAAUGCAACCGGAGAUCUAGAGAGCUGUCACAUUCCAAGAAAUAUUUAAAUUGUGCUGAUUUUCUUCUGGAGAACUGAGCCCAGGGAAUGAAACUCUCCAUCAAGUCAUAGCUUUGCGGGCAAUAGAUCAGAGGAUAUUGCCAGUUUUCUAAUGGAUUAUUGUUAUCGGGCAGGUUUUCUCUGAAGGUACGUAGUUAUUUUCUCAAUUCAUUACCCUUUUCCUGUUUAUCAGGUAAUGAUCUAAUGAGCUGGGGAGCCAAACCUGUGAAAAAGAGAAAGAUCUUAGUCUGUAUUGACUAAAGAAUGACACUUUAUGGCUGCAUGUUUAUAGGUGAAUUAUCUGAUUCCUGUACUAAAGAUUAGUAGGGUAUAGUUUGAAUUGCAUCAUCAGCAAAAACAGGCAAAACAAAAACAAACCGUGCUGCAGGCUUUAUUAUCAUAAGUUCAUAUGAAUUCUCUUGAGGAUUUUCUUUUAUAGCUGCACUAUAUAAUAAAGGGGAUACAGACUUUGGAAACUCACUUAACCUUAUAUGUGUUUUAUUCUUUUUACACAAUGAUAUUUUAUCUGUGUAUUCCAAAAUACAAAACUUUGUCUCAAAUGCUGCUAUUGAUUUUGAUGUCGUGGAUGCUUAUAACAUUUGAAUAUAUGAAUGGCAAGAGUAUUUAAAGAAACUCUAGUAGAAGUAUUCCUGAGAAUAUUAUAUCGGUGUACUUUGUUGACUUACAGCUCUGUAUUUUUGAGUUUGGAAUCAUCAUGCUAAGAUAAGUUGCUUUAAUUUUAGUUAAAUACACAUACUCUAAAGAUUUAUUAUCUAACUUUGCUCUGUGAAGUGAAAACCUCAAUACAUUUGUAGAAAACAUGAAACUAGCACAGUAAAAUUUUAAAAGCUGACAAACUUUGGAAUAUUUAUUAAACUAAUAAAAAUAGAGAAAACCUUAUCCUAAACUAGGUCUAACUGCGAAAUAUUAACACAGAAAAGGGAUGACUUUUGUGCAUGGUUCCUAAAGGUAAAGAUGUAUUUGUAGGGGGUUGUUCUGUGUCAGAGUGGGUGGGAGUGUAAGACAGAAAGUAAGCACAUAGUAAUGGCAAUAAGCUUAUGAAAACUGAAGAAAUAUUUUAGAAUAUUGUAUGAGGGCUUUUGAUGCAUCUAAGCAUUUUAUUAUUGUGUGAAUUCACUCAGUGAAACCUACUGUGGCUUUGAUAUUUUUGCAUGUCAGAAAUGACUGUUAGGUUAGGUCAAGUAGUCGGUGCAUGUGACCUGCAGCGUAGUAUUUGUGGAUUGUUACACAGACUUUGUGGACCCAUCAACGGGUUAAUCACAGACUUGAGAAAGGAAAUGGUGGCUGAGCUUCAUGAAAGCACUUGUUAAAUGUGUUCUAGUUUCUUUGGAGCAUUCGAGAGACUAUUAGAAGCUUAAAGCAAACAGAGAAGGAAUGAGUCACCCAAAUAGUAACUUUAAGUUCAUUCUCUCUUAUCCUCAGAGGGAUUGUAAAAAGCCAAAAGUGGAAACGAAGGAGAUAGAGUCCUCAAAGAGUAUGUUUAAGUGCUUCUUUUUUCAUGAAUCUUACAAGAAUUGAGAAAUAGGGGCUUAAAUUAAGGUUUCCCUAUGGAUUGCUCCAUUUUACAAGUUUUCUCUCUCUUUUAUGGAACAUUUUUGCUCCACUCACUUAAGAAAAAAAAGUGAGCUUGCUUCCAGCCUGAUUUCUGCCCAAUAGCUUGUAUCUCUAAUUUAACUCUCCAGAAAUGUGCUCUUUGAAACUGCAUACACUUCAGAGUCUCAGUUUGAUCAUUCAUUGAGUUUUGUAUGCCAAAAGAUAAUAUAAUAUAACACUUUUUAACAUUCUUUUACAAUUAUUAUCACAAUUAGCAUUUCUGAAAAUCUCAGACUGUGUGCAAAAGAGGGUAUAAGUAGGGGAAAAAAUAAGGGAACAUACAUUAUGUUCUUUUGGAGUAAGAUAAUACCAAUAAAUAAUGAAAUAUAUUCACUUCAUGUUUGAGUAUGGGGCAGGAAUGACAACAGCUUAGAAUAUAUCCCUUAAUUUACAUUUUAGAUGUUAGAUGAAUAUAACAAAUCUGAAAAUGAGGAGUAGUUUCAUUUUUCAGAUUGGAAUUUUUUGUGUUUGUUUUGUUUUAACCUCCUGUUAACUUUUUCUACCACACAUGUUAAUGUCUUUUACCUCCCUAGAGAGUUCAUUCACUUAUCCAGCUUCUAAAUCUGCUGAUCUUCUAGGUCUAGUACUAAAACUUGUUUUUUAUUUCAUCUUAUGAUGAGUUAAUUGUAAAAUAUAUUGCCAUAAUUUCAUUUUAUUAGCUGCUGUUAAAUAUUUAAUAUUUAUUGAGUGCCCAUGAAAUGUUUGGUGCUUAAAAGCAAUAUGUAGAAAGAAAGUACAUACUGAUAUUUCUCACAAAUCAGCCAGUUUAUUAAUAUUUCCAGAUUUCUAAUUGGUGCCCACAGAGAAAAGCAAUUAUGCCUGACUCUUUAGUAGCUACUUAUGCGUGUAUAAGGCAUGGACACUCCUAUAUUUGGUCAAUAAUUUGCAUACACCUUUACUGAAGAUUCCAGACUAGUCAUCCAGAUAUUUUCAAAUUCUCCCAUAACUCUGUUUUAUAUGUUAAACUGUCACUGACCGAACACUGAAUUGUAGGUAAGACAAACUAGAUUUAAAUCUGUUAAGCAAAUUUGUGUAGGUUAAUCAUCUCCUCCAUACUCCUAUCUCAUCGGUGGUAUAAUGAUAUCUACUUUUUAGAUUCUUGUGGGUAGUAAAGAUCAGGCACAUUAAGUAACAAACACAGAAUUUAUGCACAACAUAUGCUUGAUAAACAGUACCUGUUUCUUAAACACAUUUUAUUAUAAUUUUACAUACAGAAUGUUCCAUUUGAAAUCACCUUGACUCUUUCUUCAAUGAUGUGUGUAUAUGCAUAUGUUCAUUUGUUAUACAGUCUUAGUAAUCAAAAUAAUGCAUUGGUUAUAUGGUUAUUGCUUGGCACUAAAGUUCUCUAUAAAAUUACUAAAGCAAAAUUACUAAAUUCAAGAUUAGUUUGAGAAAGUUGUUGGCGUAUUCCCCAUGGCUUUCAAAUUGCUAAAUAAAUCAUGAUCUACUGGGGAAGAAAAGAUAGAACUAUAUCUCAUUUUCCCACUUUUCCCUUCUUCCAAAAGAUAUGGAAAUAGAAGAAAAAGCACUAAAUCAUCUUGCUCAUUUUAAUGUACCCUUUGCCCCUUUCAUUUGCAUUUACUUUGCUAUAAUGACUUGUCUAGUGAGAUGGCCUCAAAUUCCAACUGCAUAUGGUAGUUCAAGCGUACAAAUCCACCCCUCACGGAACAAAGCAAAUAUAUGAAAACUUUUAUUAAAAUAAAAGACAGCUUUUGCUUUGAAAAAAUACUAAACAUUUUUUAAUGAGAGUGAAAAUGUUAAAAUGCAAGUAUUAAAUCCAGCCAGAUGUUGACCUUAACUGUGAGUCUGAAUCUUUAUAAAAAUAGGAUGCAAAUCCAAGCUAGAAGCUGUUUUCUUUAGGUGACAAGGCUGCUGAAAACUCCUGAGUCUGAAUUUCUCAAAUAUAUUUCAUAUUGAAUUAAGCAUGUACAGAAAGCCUACUUUAAUAUCCUAAGUUGUAUAGACAGGGAGAUUAAGCAUAAUAUAAGUUGGUCUUAUAUAUCUGUAUAUAUCUGGAUUUGUAUUGGAAUUUGGAAAUAGAUAUAUAAAAGUCUUCUUAUAAAAAGGAACCACCAAGUAUUUAUUUUCAAAGUACAUGACAACAUUCUAACUAGAUCAAAAUGUGGAUGCAAAAGCAAGUACCUGCUGAGAAACUAUUCUUUCUUCUUCUUUUUUAAUUUUUUUGGUCAGGAUCUGUUGUCAGUACCAAUCCUAUUUUAUAUCUGUGAAUUUACCUACUUGUCAGUAUGGAGAAGGUGAAGGUUUGGGUAUCUGACUUCGUUUUGUAGAUGACCCUUGAAGUUCUAUUGUUUUUUUAUUGCCAAUUUCAGAUAUUUUGGCCCGGUACUUAAAGGAGAUUAGAAUCUAUAUUCUAAUUUCAACUCAGUUUUCUAAUUUGUAUGCGUGUGUGUAAGAAUAAUAAUAAUGGUCACAUGGUGGUGUAGAAUGCAUGACAAUGUUGUAAAAUAGUAUUACAGGGGCUUGUUCAUAAGUACGGAGUUGAUCCUCAAACACCACAGAUUUGAACUACACAGGUCCACUUAAAUGUAGAUCUAUUUUUAUUAGUAAAUACUACAGUGCCACAUGAUCCAUGGUUUGUUAAAUCCAAGAAAGUGGAACUGAGGAUAUGAAGGAAACUUCCUCCAUGUAUACGGAAGGCUUAAUCGUAAGUUAUAUGCAUAUUUUUGAUUGCUUUGAAGGUUGGUGUUCCUAGACCCCAAGUUUUUCAAGGCUCAACUAUGCUAAUAAAUGGUAAUAAGUAUUAUUGUUUCUCUUAUGACAUCACCAUCUGCACACCCACUCCUGAUAUUAGGUUUCCAGUUAUUCAGUUAGAUUAUCAGGCUACCUUUGGUGGGGGAGGGGCCCCAGGGGGAAGGUCCCAAAUUCAUAUUCACCUACAUAUUUCUCUUACAUCUAGCUUCCUACAAGUAAAUAUUCUUGUUUACUAAGCCCUGCUCCUUUGACCUAACUUUAAAAAGCUUAGCCACAGUCCCUUGAGAUGCUUUUUUCCUGGUAAAUUAUUAAGCUUAUUAAUUCUCUCCUGAUGUCUAUUUUGUAUAAAGGAAGCAGAAAGAAAAUAUGGUUGUCUUGUGGCAGAUGCAACUUCCACAGGCUUCUCGAGUGGAGGCUUUCUUUUAUGAAAGGUGUACUAAUACGAAUUAUGAGCUGAAUUGUCUCUCCCUAAAAUUCAUAAUGGCAACCCACUCCAGUAUUCUUGCCUGGAGAAUUUCAUGGGCAGGGGAGCCUGGCAGACUGCAGUCCAUGGGUUCAAAAAGGUCAAACACGACUGAGAGACUUCCAAAUUCAUAUGCUUAUGUACUAACUCCCAGUAUCUUGGAAUGUGGCUAUAUAUGGAGACAGGAUUUUUAGAGAUAUAAUUAAGUUAAAGUCAGGUCACUAGGGUGAUUCCUAAUCCAAUAUGACUGGUGUCCCUAUAAGAAGAGGAAAUUUGGACAUAGAUUCUUACAAGACACUGGGAAAAGAUGGCCAUCUAUAAGCCAAGGAGAGAAGCCCCAGAAGAAAUCAACCCUCCUGAAACUUGAUCUCAACUUCUAUCUUAUAACUGUGAGAGAAAAAACUACUAUGUUCCUUUAGCCACCCAGUCUAUGAUGUAUGGUGCUUUGUUAUGGCAACCCUAGUAAAUUAAUACAGGGAAACAUUUUAGCCUUUGUGGACCUCAUGCAGUUUCUGACACAUAUCCUUUCUUUCCCUCCUUCCCUUCUUCUCCUUAUUCACCCUUUAAAAAUGUAAUGCAAAACAAAACAGAAAGCCAAUAAAAACAAAUAUUCUUAGGUGCCAUAUUUGUCCAUAAGCACAGUUUCCCAACCCUUGUUCUAAGAGAUCUUUCUCUUGUCCAAGAGGUCUUUCAGAGCCUUCCAAAGUUUGGGCAAAAGAUAGUCCUAACUUUCAUGUUCUUGAAUGUGAUAGUUUACUUUAUUGAGGGCAUCACUGAUUUUUAGCCUAAAAAUGUAACUUGGCCCUUUCCUUCUGUUAAAAUUCUUCCAAAUACCUCAAUUUAAUGAAAAGUAUUUUGAUUAGAGUAUUUUACCUUCACUCUGAAAUGGCCCUUUUAAGUCCUAGUGGUAGAAUAGCAUCUGAAAAAACAUACAUAUAAUAAUAAUAGCAGUCUGCCCUUGUUGAGUACAUCUGUAAGCUAAAGAUAUUCUAAACACUUAACAUACAUUUUUUGAUGAUUAUCCUACCAAAAACCUUGCAAAGUAACUGCUGUUAUAAUCAUGUUACUGAUAAGGAAAUUGGAACACAUAGAGACGAAACAACUGCCAUGGGUAUUUAGCUUAAAUAACUUAGAUGACUUGUAAACUUUUGGAUAUAGGAUCUGUGGCCCAGAGUCUGUCAUGUAACCACUCUACCAUGAUGGCUCUCAGAUCAUGGCAGAGUUUCAUGUUUACCCUAGAAACAGCUAUGAAAAUGUUGGGAAAGUACUUAUCAAGUAGCAAUUCAGGUGAAAGAGAGGGGGAAUGAUGCAGUGCUUAUUUUAAUCCUACAUUUUAUGUGAAUGAAGUAGGUAUGGUGGUUCUGUAGUUAAGUAUGUUAUUUCUGUGUGUCUUUUCUUAUAGAGAAUAUGAUUUAGGACUUUUUUUCUCCUUAAAAUAUAUAGUGAGAGAGUAUGGAUUUAAAAAAACUAGUUUUAUUGUAGACAAAUCUAAAGAACAAAAUGGUACAAUUUUGAAACACACAGGAAAUUCAUAUUUAAUUUCACAUGUGAAUAUGUUAAUAUGCUUAUUUUAAUAAUCCCUGUUAGAGGCAGAAAUCCAGGAAAAACUAAACUGACAAACAGUUAUAAAUGCUUCAUUAUUUCUAGUUAUUUUAACAGUAUCAACAGGUAGUAGAUCUGAAUGUGUUGGUAUAAGAACCUGUUUGAGUGAAAACUUUGCCAGGUGGCAAUUCUGGUUUAAUUUUAAGAAACAUAUGUUGUGUACCUAGGCUGUCCUUUUUAAUUUAAUCAAUACAUGUGAUAUAUUUUCAGUGUUUGUAUAGAACUGAAAUGUAUUUUCUAGCCAAAUUUGAAUUGGUACAACAUCUUUGAAAAGAAAAGUAGGCCAGCACUCCCUUGUGAUGUAAGGACAGCUGACCUACUUCAUAAGUUAUUCUUCCAUCACCCAAUUUGCACAAUUGAAUCCUUGUUGUUUAUGUUCCUAUUCCUACUAAAGAAAUGUAAUCAUAAUUAAGUGGAAGGUUGUCAGUCACAUGCCAAAGUGAAUCAAUGUUAAAAAAAAAAAGAGCUAUUUCCAGUUUUUAGCUAUAAUUUCUAGUAAUUAAAGUAUAGGUUUCUAUACAUGAAGAACAUUAAUAAAAUACUUAUUGUUUAGGAAUUUAUUAUAAUAGGCCCUGUUAUUUUAGGCUCUGGUAGAUUCCUAGUUACUGUGGAGCAAACCUAAGAUAAAAUGCCUUCAUAUAUUUUCAUUGGGACUGGUGGAUAACUGUGGGCCUCCUCUUUCUUAGGAAUUAUUUUUGAAGUAUGCAUUUAUAUUUAUUCUCUCUAAAAAUGGUUUUAUUUAUCUUUAAGAAGUAUAUUAGUAGACACAUAAAUAUAUGUAUGAAGGUAUUUGUGUGCAUGUCUGUGAUUGUCUGCAUUUUUUUAAAUGGAGCUAUCCAUAGAAGACUUGACAUACAGAUCUUUAAUUCAAAGCAAUAUAUUGAAAAGCAUCUUCUCACUAGUAAGUGGACCCUGAAAUAUAUAGGAAUUAGAGCAAUAAAUCCCACCCUGGAUUACUUUACAACUCUCUACCACCCUCCUUUUUCUUAAAGCUACUCCUUACAAAAAAUCCAUGUGUUAGAAAAUAUCAUGCCAGGGAUUUGUUUUCUCUCUUGGAUUAUGCCCUUGAGGUCAAAAUGGGAAAUAUUCUAGGUAAAUGAAAUCUUUAGGAGAAUUUGUAGAAUUUAUCUGAAGAAACAAAGAUUAACACUGAAAAGAAAAUAAUUAUUUCUAGGUUUUCAGUGGGGAUAGGAAUGUGCCAGAUCUGGAGAAUAAUGUUGGGAACUGGGAUACACAUAACAGAAAUUCUGUGAAGAGUUUAUCUUAUUAUGUAAUCUCAUUUGGUAAUGAGAACAGUUGUAUUUAUUUUAAGCUGCAAGUCUUGUUUUCCUUUUGUGACUCCUAAUAGCUAUCUCCAAACCUUUGGUAAACACCCACAUAGACCACAGGGUAUAGAUUAAAUCUACACUAAAGGGAAAAACCUUAAUUUGCCCAUAGCUACAUAUAGACAACAAGGAGAUUAAACCAGUCAGUCUUAAAGGAAAUCAACCCUGGAUACUCACUGGAAGAACUGAUGCUGAAGCUGAUUCUCCAGUAUUUUAGUCACCCAAGGUGAACAGCUGACUCAUUGGAAAAGUCCCUGUUGCUGGCAAAGACUGAGAGCAGAAGGAGAAGAGGGAUGAGAUGGCUGGAUAGCAUCACCGAUGAAAUGCAGGUGAACUUGGGCAAUCUUCAGGAGAUGGUGAGAGACAGGGAAGCCUGGCAUGCUGCAGUCCAUGAGGUCACAAAGAGUCUGACACUACUGGGCGACUGAACAACAACAACAAGGAUAGAUAGACACAUACCUACAGAGCAAUAUGCGCUGUCCAACAGAUUGGCAAAUAGGAACAGGCUGACAGACAAAGACAGAUUGACAGUAAGAACUGACAUUGAGACAGGGAUGGUAGACCAAUAUAAGGGACAGGCAAACUGACAGCCAGCCAGAAACAUACCACAGUAAGAACUGGCUGAAUAGACAGGAAGGUAAGCACAGACUGGCAGAUAUAGACACAGAGAUACUGAACAGACAAAAGUCUGAGGCCAGACCCAUGUCUAACAUGGCCUGGUGGGUCUGGUCAAUGAAAGGCAUAGAUGUAAACAUAGUUGUUGGUGUAUACAGACACUGUACGCUAGAAUGCUGCCUUUAUAUUCAUGAGGCAAAAUUCAGGAAUAAGCCAUACUUAUUGCUUAUUAAAGGACAUUUUUGAAGCAUAUUCAUCUAUGCAAUUUUUCCCACUACAGAGGUGAAUCAUAGAUACAUAUGUGAGCUGUUUCGUCAUUCCCUUUAUCUGAUAUUUCUUUCUUUGGGUAAGAGAAACAAAUAAAAACAGUCAAGUUAUUUUGAGAUUCCUGUUGAAAGGUUACCUUAAGCUCUUUUCAAACUCUGUAAGAUAAUAGACAAGUCAGAAUUCAGAUUAUAAAAUGAUCAAUUUUCUUUCUCUAGAGGAAGCAACAACAAUUAUAACAAACAAAAGAAUAAAACACUUUUGCCUGAAAAACAUUAUUAAUGUCAAGCAAUUAUUAUAGCCUCACUCUUUUGCUUUGGGUCAUUGAAAUUAGUUCUAAAUUAUAAAUGCACUGGAUAAUUUUUGCAGCAAUAAAUUGAGAAAAGCAAGGGAAAUAUAAUGUUUCCAUGACUGAAUGGAAUGAUAAUAGCUUGAAUGAACAUAUGUCGACCUUUUAGUGUUUUGUAGAAAAUUUUGAUUAUCACAUUAUAAUUAACAGUAGAUUUAUCUGAAAUAUUAAUAGCUACUCAAUAGUUCAAAAUAUUUAUAAUUUUAAGAAUGUUUAAGGAAUGGCAAAGUCUACUAAUUAGUUAGCAGUUUCUUUUAGAGUCUUGGAAGGAUAUCAGUUCAGUUCAGUUCAGUCGCUCAGUUGUGUCUGACUCUUUGCGACCCGUGAAUUGCAGCACGCCAGGCCUCCCUGUCCAUCACCAACUACUGAGUUCACUCAGAGUCUGAGUUCACUCAGACUUGCGUCCAUCGAGUCAGUAAUGCCAUCCAACCAUCUCAUCCUCUGUCAUCCCCUCUCCUCCUGCCCCGAAUCCUUCCCAGCAUCAGAGUCUUUUCCAAUGAGUCAACUCUUCGCAUGAGGUGGCCAAAGUACUGGAGUUUCUACUUUAGCAUCAUUCCUUCCAAAGAAAUCCCAGGACUUAUCUACUUCAGAAUGGACUGGUUGGAUCUCCUUGCAGUCCAAGGGACUCUCAAGAGUCUUUUCCAACACCACAGUUCAAAAGCAUCAAUUCUUCAGUGCUCAGCCUUCUUCACAGUCCAACUCUCACAUCCAUGCAUACCACUGGAAAAACCAUUGCCUUGACUAGACAGACCUUUGUUGCCAAACUAAUGUCUCUGCUUUUCAAUAUGCUAUCUAGGUUGGUCAUAACUUUUCUUCCAAGGAGUAAGCGUCUUUUAAUUUCAUGGCUACAGUCACCAUCUGCAGUGAUUAUGGAGCCACAAAAAACAAAAUCUGACACUGUUUCCACUGUUUCCCCAUCUAUUCCCCAUGAAGUGAUGGGACCAGAUGCCAUGAUCUUCAUUUUCUGAAUGUUGAACUUUAAGCCAACAUUUUCACUCUCCUCUUUCACUUUCAUCAAGAAGCAUUUCAG
ensembl:lncRNA